rnacentral:rRNA from 1 species
UUUUUAAAGUCUGACCUGCCCACUGAAAUUAAUUAAAUGGCCGCAGUAUUCUAACUGUGCAAAGGUAGCAUAAUCAUUAGUCUUUUAAUUGAAGGCUGGUAUGAACGGUUGGACGAGGUAUAAGCUGUUUCAUUUAAAUUUAUAGUAGAAUUUUAUAUUUUAGUCAAAAAGCUAAAAUGUUAUUAAAAGACGAGAAGACCCUAUAAAUCUUUAUAUUUUAUUAAGUUUAAAUUUUUUGGUUUUAGUUUGUUUUUAUUUUAUAAAUUAUUUUGUUGGGGUGAUAUUAAAAUUUGAUGAACUUUUAAUUAUUUAAAAUCAUUAAUUUAUGAAUUAUUGAUCCAUUAGUAGUGAUUAUAAGAUUAAGUUACUUUAGGGAUAACAGCGUAAUUUUUUUGGAGAGUUCAUAUCGAUAAAAAAGUUUGCGACCUCGAUGUUGGAUUAAGAUAUAAUUUUAGGUGUAGCCGCUUAAAU